AAUACGGAGGGUCCAAGCGUUAUCCGGAAUCAUUGGGUUUAAAGGGUCCGUAGGCGGGCCUGUAAGUCAGAGGUGAAAUCUCCGGGCUCAACCCGGAAACUGCCUUUGAUACUAUUUAUCUUGAAUUUCGUUGAGGUUGGCGGAAUAUAUCAUGUAGCGGUGAAAUGCAUAGAUAUGAUAUAGAACACCGAUUGCGUAGGCAGCUGGCUGAACGAACAUUGACGCUGAGGCACGAAAGCGUGGGUAGCG
rnacentral:rRNA from 1 species